rnacentral:lncRNA from 1 species
UCAUCCCUCCUCAACUUCGUUAAUAUUCUUAUGCAUGAAAAAUAGAUAACAAAGGAUAUUAGCAUACCAAUCAAAAGUACUUUAUUAUAUAAAUUGUUCAAAUCAUUAAAUCCUACAACAUAAACACUACAAACUAAACCAUAUAUGUAACAUAAAUCAUAUAUAUAUUAUUAAAACAGAAAUAUUGUGUUGAACCUAACAUUUAUUUUGUAAGUUUUUAAAUUAAAUACAUCUUUCUAUUUUAUUGUUAAACCUACAUCAAAUCCCUAAUAUUCUUUUAUUUAUACUACUAUCCACA